rnacentral:rRNA from 1 species
GAUGAACGCUGGCGGCGUGCCUAAUACAUGCAAGUCGAGCGAACAGACGAGGAGCUUGCUCCUCUGACGUUAGCGGCGGACGGGUGAGUAACACGUGGAUAACCUACCUAUAAGACUGGGAUAACUUCGGGAAACCGGAGCUAAUACCGGAUGAUAUUUUGAACCGCAUGGUUCAAUAGUGAAAGACGGUUUUGCUGUCACUUAUAGAUGGAUCCGCGCUGCAUUAGCUAGUUGGUAAGGUAACGGCUUACCAAGGCAACGAUGCAUAGCCGACCUGAGAGGGUGAUCGGCCACACUGGAACUGAGACACGGUCCAGACUCCUACGGGAGGCAGCAGUAGGGAAUCUUCCGCAAUGGGCGAAAGCCUGACGGAGCAACGCCGCGUGAGUGAUGAAGGUCUUCGGAUCGUAAAACUCUGUUAUUAGGGAAGAACAAAUGUGUAAGUAACUAUGCACGUCUUGACGGUACCUAAUCAGAAAGCCACGGCUAACUACGUG